rnacentral:lncRNA from 1 species
UGCAAACAAUUUAUUGAUUGGUGUAAGAAAAGCUCUUUGUACAAAGCCCCAUAAAGCACUAUUAUAUAUUUGCAUUACUUAUAGUUGUUUUCAUUCAUUCCAUUCAUCCAUUUAUUAAAUAUAAAUUAGGUGAUUAAUGCAAUUUUAAAAAUGCAAUUAAGGCAUAGUUAUUAUUCUCAUAGAGUUUACAACCAUGUGGGGGAGAUGUGAAACAUACAAAUUGAUAAUAUGAUGAAUAUCCAGAACUAUAAAUAUAUAAAAACAUUAAGACUUACUAAAUUAGGUGAUUUAAUUAAAUAAAAAUGCAAUUAAGGCAUAAUAUUAUUCUCAUAGAGCUUUACAAUCACGUAGGGGAGAUGUAAAAUAUACAAACUGACAAUAUGAUGAAUAUCCAGAACUAUCAUGUAAAAUAGAAUAUAUAAAAACAUUAGGACAAGUACAAAGGGCUAUUCAAAAACCAAAGAACUAUAAUUUUAAUGGAGUUUUAGGUAAGCCCUCUUGAAGAGUUACUAUCUCUUUCAGGUGGUAAAAGGGAAAAGAAUUGUUUCCCAGAACACUUCAGGGAAAGGGAAUGAUAAGAAUAAAGAACUCAACACACUCCCAGUAGAGUGCAUGUCCUCCUCUAGCUGAGCUUUGUAGUUAGGAUACCAGUAAGCUUUUAUUUGAAUUUGUCUUCCCAAACACUGCAACUCUCAUGGCCUAUUAUUACUUUCUACACACUUGCUAAUAAUUAAGUUAUAUUUGGUCCUGAAAAAGGCACUAGACACUUUUGGGUCAAAUGCACUCAUCCUAACAGGUACCCUGAAGUUGAGCCUUUUCUCUAAUUAAUAUAAAGAAAUUAUAGUUAGAUGCUUAUCCAGAAGAGAAAAAUUCAGUAGGUAGUCUCAAACCAUAAUUUCUGUCUGUUCUGGCAGAGAGAAAAAGCAGAUGCUAAUGGAAAAUUUUAUGAAGCAACUAUUUUGGUGGUGGGGUGGUGCUAACCAUGAAAUAUCACAAUAUUGCAUAGGCUGAGAACAGUUAAGUAAGAAAGUCAGACAUCCUGAUAUAGAAAUAAAACCACUCUUUCCUUUUGUUAAUAGCUAGAUAGAAAAGGGUAAGAGCACAGGGCACUGGCUAGGAACCAGAACAAGAAUAGAGGUUCCAGCCUGCCAUAAGGUAUCAUAAGACCACUAAUUUCUCUGGGAGCAAAAGCCAUCAGGAGUUAGGGAAAUCCUGCUGAAAAGUAGAAGGGUGCCAGAUCAGUUUCAGAGUUUUACCUUGGUAUAACAUUUUGGCUAUCAGGAAAACAGAAAACAAUUACUUCCUUUGUUUCAUCCAUAGCUAAAAUGCCAUAUAUAAGAGAACCCCUAAUUCCUUAGUUGAAUUAAGUUAAAAGGUUAAGUCCUGACUACUUGCUUAUCCAACCCCCUAUAAUCUGACUAACUGUUACAUCACUCUUGGGAAAUUAUUCUCUGAAAUUGCCAAUGACCUCUUAAUUGCCAAACCAAUGGAACUUUCUUGUUCUCAUCCUUUCUUGCCUUUGUGAAAAAUCUGACCCCUUUGACACUUGUUUUACACUUUGGUUACUGGGUCUCCAUCCUCUUCCUGUCACCUAAAAGGAAAAACUCUUCCUUCCCCACUCUCAGCCCCUGUAUCUCCAUUAUCUACUCCCAGAACUAUAAACCUCUAUGUCAGUGAUUCACAGAUCUAUCUUUUGUUCCGACUUCUCCUAAGCUCCAGGUCUACAUUUCUAUCUAUAUCUGCUACUGCAUAGCUGCAACUAGACAUCAUAGACCAAGUCAAACUCAACAACUCAUCCCUUUUUCCCCAUAAAAUUCACCAUUCUAUCUUUGUAAUUUCUAUUUAACAAUACCAUUAUUUUUCAACUUUCCCAAGGCCAGGAUAU